AUGUUAUGAUUUGGGCACCUAUGUAAUAAAAGUUUAAACCUUUCUCAUGCUUCAUACACUCAUUCAGUUUCCUGUUGCUCAAAGUGUGUGAUUUCAACUCUCUGUUC